CUAUACAUGCAAGUCGAGCGGACAGAUGGGAGCUUGCUCCCUGAUGUUAGCGGCGGACGGGUGAGUAACACGUGGGUAACCUGCCUGUAAGACUGGGAUAACUCCGGGAAACCGGGGCUAAUACCGGAUGGUUGUCUGAACCGCAUGGUUCAGACAUAAAAGGUGGCUUCGGCUACCACUUACAGAUGGACCCGCGGCGCAUUAGCUAGUUGGUGAGGUAACGGCUCACCAAGGCGACGAUGCGUAGCCGACCUGAGAGGGUGAUCGGCCACACUGGGACUGAGACACGGCCCAGACUCCUACGGGAGGCAGCAGUAGGGAAUCUUCCGCAAUGGACGAAAGUCUGACGGAGCAACGCCGCGUGAGUGAUGAAGGUUUUCGGAUCGUAAAGCUCUGUUGUUAGGGAAGAACAAGUGCCGUUCAAAUAGGGCGGCACCUUGACGGUACCUAACCAGAAAGCCACGGCUAACUACGUGCCAGCAGCCGCGGUAAUACGUAGGUGGCAAGCGUUGUCCGGAAUUAUUGGGCGUAAAGGGCUCGCAGGCGGUUUCUUAAGUCUGAUGUGAAAGCCCCCGGCUCAACCGGGGAGGGUCAUUGGAAACUGGGGAACUUGAGUGCAGAAGAGGAGAGUGGAAUUCCACGUGUAGCGGUGAAAUGCGUAGAGAUGUGGAGGAACACCAGUGGCGAAGGCGACUCUCUGGUCUGUAACUGACGCUGAGGAGCGAAAGCGUGGGGAGCGAACAGGAUUAGAUACCCUGGUAGUCCACGCCGUAAACGAUGAGUGCUAAGUGUUAGGGGUUUCCGCCCCUUAGUGCUGCAGCUAACGCAUUAAGCACUCCGCCUGGGGAGUACGGUCGCAAGACUGAAACUCAAGGAAUUGACGGGGCCCGCACAAGCGGUGGAGCAUGUGGUUUAUCGAGCACGCGAGACCUUACCAGUCUGACAUCUCUGACAUCCUAGAGAUAGGACGUCCCUUCGGGGCAGA
rnacentral:rRNA from 1 species